GACAGAGGGUGCAAACGUUGUUCGGAAUUACUGGGCGUAAAGCGCGUGUAGGCGGCUAUGUAAGUCGGGCGUGAAAUCCCACGGCUCAACCGUGGAAGUGCACCCGAAACUGCGUAGCUAGAGUCCUGGAGAGGAAGGUGGAAUGCUUGGUGUAGAGGUGAAAUUCGUAGAUAUCAGGAGGAACACCGGUGGCGAAGGCGGGUCUCUGGGCAGUAACUGACGCUGAGGAACGAAAGCGUGGGUAGCGAACAGG
rnacentral:rRNA from 1 species